GACGAACGCUGGCGGCGUGCCUAAUACAUGCAAGUCGAACGCAGUGGUGCCGGGUGAGUAACACGUUGGUAACCUCCAAUCAGAGGGGAUAACACUUGGACACAGGUGCUAAACCGAUACUGAUGGAUGGACGCGCGGUGCAUUAGCUAGUUGGUGAGGUAAAGGCUCACCAAGGCGACGAUGCGUAGCCGACCUGAGAGGGUGAUCGGCCACACUGGGACUGAGACACGGCCCAGACUCCUACGGGAGGCAGCAGUGGGGAAUCUUGGGCAAUGGACGAAAGUCUGACCGAGCAACGCCGCGUGUGUGAAGAAGGUUUUCGGAUCGUAAAACUCUGUUAUUAGAGAGGCGGUAUCUACACAGAAAGCAACGGCUAACUACGUGCCAGCAGCCGCGGUAAUUC
rnacentral:rRNA from 1 species